GAAAGGGUUCGUGCCAUUGGCUGUGGUUAGCUGCGGUAGGAAGAGGUGAGGUUCAGCUAGCCUGUGGUAGCUCCUCCCAAGGGUUCUGGGAUCUGGCUGAGUUGGGGAAGGGGUAGCGUAGUUGUCAGUUUAGCACAAAAAUAGUCUUCUGUGGUGUGAUCAUCUCAAGGCCGCCUAGGAAAAUGGUUGGGGUUUCGACGCCUGUCAUACGUUCAGCUGGAGUUUAAGGAACGCUGCGCUGAGCCCUCCCCAGCCCUAAUUCACUAAUGAUUUGCUUAUUAGUUCGGAUCAGGGAGCCGGUUUCUGGAGAGAUGUGAAUUGCCAUUGAUUUAAUCCUCUUGCCAGCACGCGCUCCCGGCCUAGGGUGAGGCUGUGAGGAGAGGGGGGUUGUCAGCUGGUUCAAGAGCAAGUUGCUGCUUCUCCUGCCUGGCUUUGUCUGUCUCCCCGACCAUCUGCUUUCAGCCCGUGUGUGGAGGAGCUGAGCCCAAGAGCUCAAAGCCUGGGCUCUAGACCUGUGCGUUUCUAGGUGUUUUCAAAUGUGAGACUAAAUUAACUACUCCGUACCAUUAAGUAACAGAGCAGUCCGCAUGAAAGAGCUCCAGCUGUAACCCAGGACGAGGUCUUCCAGAAAGAAGUGUCUGGACUCAACGUCAAAGAGCCUGAAUGUGAAUGAGAUUGAGUCUCUGGAGUUUACUCACACUGCCUCCAUGGCUGUGUUCUCAUCUCUUAUUGCAGAAGUGUAUUCUGUGCGUUCAAAAACAAUAUGUCAGAUUUUCCUGAAAUCCAUUCAAGUUCAUUCACUGAGUGGUCCAAAUCUCCAGCAGCUUGAUUUCGUUCAUUUUUAUUGCUCACUUGUUUUCAGAGAGAGAGAACUCUUAACAUCUCCAUCUACCCCUCCAGCUACAGGGUCUCCCCUUAUCCAAGAGGGACAUGUCCUCAGUGGAUGCCUAUAACUACAGAUAACAGUGGAAAAUGGGAUUUGGAGUUAUCUUGAUCAGAAUGAGAAAUCAAAAUUUAUUUAUAUAAGCAAAUAUGAAACCCACCAGUUGCUGAGAUGCCUGGCCAUGAUACCAAGAUUCAUUCCUUAAGUAUC